rnacentral:lncRNA from 1 species
CCAAACACAACCAAAAGAUAAGUUUUAGCAACCAGCACAAAAAAAAAACAAAGAAAAAGAUUAUUUAAACAGCCCAAACACUUAAUUCCUUUCAAUUAGAUACUUCAAAGUGUUUAUCGCUUUGGUGCAGAAAAUAUAAUAGGAGGCAUCAAUCUCCUUGGUGACUUUGGUCGGCUUCUCAGUGACAUACUCCAUAGCGUUGAUACCUUGCCUUAUAGAGGUCAAUAGUUCCUUCCCUUUUUGAUUCCUUCACCCAAUCUCAUGAGAAGCAAGCCCAGCAGGCCCUGAUACCUGCAAUAUUUUGUUGCACUAGUAGCAACUGAUAUGAGGAAGAGGAUUUGUAAUUUUUAGAUUUAUUUCCUCCAGUUUUAUGUUGAGGAGUGGAUUCUUAUGCUUUUUCUUUCUUGAGUCAGGUUCCUUAACAAAACAGUAACCUAUCAAGGCAAAGGUUGUCUUGUCAUAUGGGCUGGAGAUGGUUUUAAGGGCAUAGAGAGACAAAUCUACUUUUACAACUUGCAAGAUGUAAGAGAUUAGUAAACCAUAAGGCAAACUGUUAGCCGAAGAUGAGACAUCCUAAUGCUUUCAAGCAUUUGUUGUCGCACCCAAGCAAACCAAUUAAUAGCCUUCCCGUUCACAAGACAAUACAAGACAAACACAUCUUAAGAGACACGGUGCUAAGAGAACCAGUAUAGGUAUGCAGGGUGGUAGAAAUAAUAUGGGCUGAGACACGAUGCUUAAAUUCUAGAAUUUUAGGACCAAUAUCAAGGAGGUUUUUAGGCAACACACUUUUUGCUUCCUCAAAUGACACUUCAAAAUUAUCAGGCCAAGAAUGUUACAAAAAGAAAUUGUACCUAACAAACUUUAUUGCAGUGAUUUUUUUUCAAACUGAUAAGAUUCAACAAUAAUUUGAGUUCCCAAAACCAUGAAUUCUAAGUCAUUUUUAUCAUUCACAAAAAAAUAUGCAUAAAACAUACACACAUGCUCUUAGAUAGUGUUACCAAUAGAACAAAUGGAGAAACAAGUUUUUGAGCUUCAGAUACUGAGAUAACAUCACAAUGAGAGCUUUUCAUAGACAAAUCUUACUUUCUCUUCGGGACCAGAGAAGUUCAUCUUGUCUUUAGGCCCAAACUCUAUGCUUUCUAUUCUCUCUCUCUUUUGAGAUGAUUGUUUGGGGAUAGACUCCAUUGGACGUCUUACAGCCAUCUUUUGAGCGGUGAGAAUUUCUUCUUGAGAACCACUAGAUUCAUCCUCGAACUGUUGAUGAUCUAUACUCUCUCACUGCUCUACAUACACAGGGUCAUCAAUUUGAUGGAUUUUCUUGAAGUGGUGAUUUCUUUUAGGCCUGGAGGAGGAUAAAGAGGGUUCGGUUUUGGCCAUGAGUAAGAGAAAGCAGAAGGAGA